UACGAGGGGGCGAGCGUUGUUCGGAAUUAUUGGGCGUAAAGGGUGCGUAGGCGGCCUGACAAGUCUGAUGUGAAAUCCCUGGGCUCAACCCAGGGCCUGCAUCGGAAACUGUCGGGCUUGAGUAUGGGAGAGGUGAGUGGAAUUUCCGGUGUAGCGGUGAAAUGCGUAGAUAUCGGAAGGAACGCCGGUGGCGAAAGCGAGUCGCUGGAUCUCUUCUGACGCUGAUGCGCGAAAGCCAGGGGAGCAAACGGG
rnacentral:rRNA from 1 species